GACGAACGCUGGCGGCGUGCUUAACACAUGCAAGUCGAACGGAAAGGCCCUGCUUUUGUGGGGUGCUCGAGUGGCGAACGGGUGAGUAACACGUGAGUAACCUGCCCUUGACUUUGGGAUAACUUCAGGAAACUGGGGCUAAUACCGGAUAGGAGCUCCUGCUGCAUGGUGGGGGUUGGAAAGUUUCGGCGGUUGGGGAUGGACUCGCGGCUUAUCGGCUUGUUGGUGGGGUAGUGGCUUACCAAGGCUUUGACGGGUCGCCGGCCUGAGAGGGUGACCGGCCACAUUGGGACUGAGAGACGGCCCAGACUCCUACGGGAGGCAGCAGUGGGGAAUAUUGCACAAUGGGCGGAAGCCUGAUGCAGCAACGCCGCGUGCGGGAUGACGGCCUUCGGGUUGUAAACCGCUUUCGCCUGUGACGAAGCGUGAGUGGCGGUAAUGGGUAAAGAAGCACCGGCUAACUACGUG
rnacentral:rRNA from 1 species